GACGAACGCUGGCGGCGUGCUUAACACAUGCAAGUCGAACGGAAAGGCCCUGCUUUUUUGGGGUGCUCGAGUGGCGAACGGGUGAGUAACACGUGAGUAACCUGCCCUUGACUUUGGGAUAACUUCAGUAAACUGGGGCUAAUACCGGAUAGGAGCUCCUGCUGCAUGGUGGGGGUUGGAAAGUUUCGGCGGUUGGGGAUGGACUCGCGGCUUAUCAGCUUGUUGGUGGGGUAGUGGCUUACCAAGGCUUUGACGGGUAGCCGGCCUGAGAGGGUGACCGGCCACAUUGGGACUGAGAUACGGCCCAGACUCCUACGGGAGGCAGCAGUGGGGAAUAUUGCACAAUGGGGGGAAGCCUGAUGCAGCAACGCCGCGUGCGGGAUGACGGCCUUCGGGUUGUAAACCGCUUUCGCCUGUGACGAAGCGUGAGUGACGGUAAUGGGUAAAGAAGCACCGGCUAACUACGUG
rnacentral:rRNA from 1 species